GUAUGGUGCAAGCGUUAUCCGGAUUUACUGGGUGUAAAGGGUGAGUAGGCGGUCAUGCAAGUCAUAUGUGAAAUGUCAGGGCUUAACCUUGGCGCUGCAUAAGAAACUGUAUGACUAGAGUGCAGGAGAGGUAAGCGGAAUUCCUAGUGUAGCGGUGAAAUGCGUAGAUAUUAGGAAGAACACCGGUGGCGAAGGCGGCUUACUGGACUGUUACUGACGCUGAGUCACGAAAGCGUGGGGAGCAAACAGGAUUAGAUACCCUGGUAGUCCACGCCGUAAACGAUGAGUGCUAGGUGUUGGCCAGAGAUGGUCGGUGCCGCAGCAAACGCAAUAAGCACUCCACCUGGGGAGUACGACCGCAAGGUUG
rnacentral:rRNA from 1 species